rnacentral:rRNA from 1 species
ACGCUCGACACCUACGGGAGCAGCAGUGGGGAAUAUUGCACAAUGGGGGAAACCCUGAUGCAGCAACGCCGCGUGAAGGAAGACGGUUUUCGGAUUGUAAACUUCUGUUCUUAGUGAAGAUAGUGACGGUAGCUAAGGAGCAAGCCACGGCUAACUACGUGCUAGCAGCCGCGGUAAUCUGAGCGGGCUGGCAAGGC